GAAAUGCGAUAAGUAAUGUGAAUUGCAGCAUUCAGUGAAUCAUCGAAUCUUUGAACGCACCUUGCGCUCCUUGGUAUUCCUUGGAGCAUGCCUGUUUGAGUAUCAUGAAAUCUUCAAAGUAAAUCUUUUGUUAACUCAAUUGGUUUCUACUUUGGUAUUGGAGGUCUUUGCAGCUUCACACCUGCUCCUCUUUGUUCAUUAGCUGGAUCUCAGUGUUAUGCUUGGUUCCACUCGGCGUGAUAAGUUAUCUAUCGCUGAGGACACUGUAAAAGGUGGCCAAGGUAAAUGCAGAUGAACCGCUUCUAAUAGUCCAUUGACUUGGACAAUACUUUUAUGAUCUGAUCUCAAAUCAGGUAGGACUACCCGCUGAACUUAAGC
rnacentral:misc_RNA from 1 species